CUGUAUUUCCGUGACUCCCUCCUCAUACCGAGUCGAUUCGUUCAAGCACGCCGUCGAUCAUCCUCCAAAUAAAAACUUCCCGACGCCUUUGAUCACGGAUCACCGUCGCUCGCUUCUCGUUUUGAUCUCUCUCAAGUCUUGCCGGCGAGACAGAGAAAAAAAAAAGAUCUAACCCUUCACGGUGAUUGCAUGGCGGCUGUGGAGGAGAACAUAAUCAGAUCAAGUAUCAUUUCUUUUCAAGAUUUCGACAACAUCGGAGACGAAAAAGCGAAAAUGACGAAGAAGGAAAAAUUGUUUUGACCUUUCGUGCGAAAACAACGGCCCAAUAAACAUGUGCCACGUAUGGGUUCCAACUGAUUCUAUAUCCCCUUAUUAAAGGACCGGUUCUGCUUAAUUUUAUCAUUUGUUAUUUAUUUUUUUCCUUUCUUUUCGUUAGAACCUCCUAACCCAGCGAUGGAGCUGCUCUUAAGAAUCUUUGUUGCACACUUGUUUGUUAUAUGCUGUGUUGGUUGCCGCUCCGUUCGGUUAUACGUCGGUACUGAAAUUUUUUGUUUUCCCAUGUUCCAGAUUACUAAUUUGUAGGAUUUUUUUUUACAAUUGUAUUAAUACAAUUUUUUUUUUUUGAGAAAGGGCUUUAGUAUUAAUACAAUUUUGUUAUGAACUAUUAUCUGAAUGUCCAUAUAGGUCCAUAAACUCAUGUUCUAGAGGUUCUAAACCCUUGUAUUGUAUUCUUAUAUAUAUGUAUUGUUGUCUAUGGAAUAAAA
rnacentral:lncRNA from 1 species